UGACCGUCUCCAGAAAGCUGCUUAAAACUUUUUUCUUCACCCUUCGCUCUCUCUGGAGAUUGCAAACGGCAGAGCUCGUCAGUCUCUACUCUCCCUCUCAUCUCGAAGCUAAGAUGGAUAUUGUCAAAAGAGAUAAUGAGCCAAUGGAAUGGUCCACUGUCCCUUACAACGCUCCUCAAGGACCUGUCUUCAACGGCAAGCAACGGACUUCGAGCUUGGAAGCGCCUAUAAUGCUUCUAAGUGGACACCAAAGUGCUAUCUACACCAUGAAGUUCAACCCUGCUGGCACCGUGAUCGCUUCCGGUUCUCACGACAGAGAGAUCUUCCUCUGGAGAGUUCACGGAGACUGCAAAAACUUUAUGGUUCUGAAAGGUCACAAGAACGCUAUCCUCGAUCUUCACUGGACCGGCGACGGCUCGCAGAUUGUGUCAGCCAGUCCUGACAAAACCGUUAGAGCUUGGGAUGUUGAGACAGGGAAACAAGUCAAGAAGAUGGCUGAGCAUUCCUCGUUUGUGAAUUCUUGCUGUCCUUCGCGCCGUGGGUUGCCUCUUAUAGUAAGUGGGUCUGAUGAUGGCACCGCGAAGCUCUGGGACAUGCGUCAGAGAGGAGCUGUACAGACGUUCCCUGAUAAGUACCAGAUCACAGCUGUUAGUUUCUCUGAUCCUGCUGAUAAGAUAUUCACUGGGGGUGUGGAUAACGAUGUUAAAGUGUGGGACUUGAGGAAAGGCGAAGCUAUCAUGACACUUGAAGGUCAUCAAGAUACGAUAACUGGUAUGAGCCUUAGUCCAGAUGGGUCUUACCUUCUCACUAAUGCUAUGGACUGUAAGCUCUGUGUUUGGGAUAUGCGUCCUUACGCUCCUCAGGACCGGUGUGUGAAGAUCUUUGAAGGGCAUCAACACAACUUUGAGAAGAACUUGUUGAAAUGUGCGUGGUCACCUGAUGGUAGUAAAGUCACAGCGGGUAGUGCGGAUAGAAUGGUUCAUAUAUGGGACACGACGUCUAGGAGGAUUCUGUAUAAGCUCCCUGGUCAUAAUGGUUCUGUUAAUGAGUGUGUCUUCCAUCCUCAUGAACCAAUCAUUGGAUCUUGCAGUAGUGAUAAUCUGAUUUAUCUAGGUGAGAUCUGAGAAGGUGCGUAUAAGAGUGUAGAAAGCUUGUUGUCUGGAGUAUUUUGUGGCUUGGAUUAAAGUAAGACGAUCAAUCUUUGUAUGCGUUGAAAUCAUCUGUGAAUUCAGUGAUUACAUUGAUGUUCACAAAUUUUUUCAUCUCACAUGAGCGCUGAAACCUGAAAAGAAAUUGGCUUUGAUGAUA